AAAGACAGAGUUUGAAGGGCCAGAAGCUGAACUCUGGGAGGUGAAGGUACUAGUCUGAUUUCCAUUUUCCUGAGGUGAUGGACUUUGAGGUAAAAGCUCCUGAAGUUGACACAGAGUUGCUAAUAAUACCCAGUGCAGUGAACGUCCUUUAUUUAACAUGAGCUGAGCCACCAAUGGGUUAAUACAUGGAAAAUCAAACCAGAAGCAGAAAACAGACAAUUUCCAUUCUACUACAACAAAAGGAUUUUAGUUUAUAUCCUUACUCUGUAAAACUGUGUCUGGAAGAAUCACUUUGAAGACCUUGUGAGGAAUAUUCAAUUUCUUGCAGUGUUUAGUCCAACAGGAGUUUUCUACAAAAUUAUAUUCCACCACAAAUGAGAAGUUACUCCAGGGGAAAUCUGAUCCAAUAUAUUGAUUAUGCACAACUACACAGGAACUUUUACUGAAGACAAAAUAAAGCCAAGAAAAUGGAA